ACGGGAUCGCGGGGGAGCGCCACGAGGGCGCCUUGCGGGCGUCCUGUGUGCGGGUGCGCAACCUGCAUCCCGAG
rnacentral:tRNA from 1 species